GGGGUAAUAUGAUAGUGGUAGACUGUUGGCUUCCAAACCCGAAGGCGGAGGUUCAAUUCCUCCUUACCCCA
rnacentral:tRNA from 1 species